rnacentral:rRNA from 1 species
GCCUAAGGCCAUGCUACCCUGAACAAGCCCGAUCCCGUCUGAUCUCAGAAGCUAAGCAGGGUUGGGCCUGGUUAGUACUGGAUGGGAGACCACCUAGGAAGACCAGAUGCUGUAGGGG